GGGAGGGGAAGGUCCACUGAGGCUGCGAGGUCAAAGAUAAGCCGAGGGCAGGACCUGGGACGCUGCAGGGAGCCGGGUUGGAGGAGGAACCGGCCGCAGAGACUCCUCCCCGGGCCUGCACCUGGCACAGCUGGCUCCUCUGAACUUCUGAGGGACCUUCAGGUGGCAUGGCCGUGACUUAACGCACGUUUAGGACAGAGACGCCAGAGCUCCUGGUUGAGUCCCGGGAAAUCCGGUCGGACACAGUCGCUGCAGCCGGCGGUUUCGGUUCUUCCGCGUUCUGUCCGUGUGUCUUGCGGAGGCUCGAGGGCUCCUUGAGUUGCCUCUGGGUAAUGCUGGCUACAUGAUUUGCAGGACCCCGGGAAAAAUGAAAUUGUGAGCCCCUUGUUAAAAAUUUAAGAAUUUCAGGUCUGUGACAGCAGAACAUUAAACAACCUGGUCUUCAUAAGCGUAGGACCCUGUGUGAUUGCUCAGGUCUCACCCACAAAGCCCAAGACGCCAGCCCUGCCCCGGGGAUCCCCACCUUUCCCCCCAAUUCAGUCCGGGUCCAUUUUUGGCCUCGUCUCUAUCCUAUUUUCUUGAGUCUUAGGGGACAUUGGUUGUGGUUCUAUCUUGGACCUCCAGGGGGACUCUCUCUCAACAACGUAUGAAAAGAGCCGCUCACUUUGUAGAAACCAUCUUCCUAACCCCUCUUCUUAUUGAUGUUAAUUUAAUGUCUGCCUUGAUAUCUUUCAAGGGAGCUUCCUCAAAAUGGAGUGUUUCUGAAGUCCAGGUACAGACGCUUUCUGUGUUCUUCGGAAACACUCGGAAGGAGAAUCCUCGAUUUGGAGGCGCUCGGAGAGGCCGCGCGGGACUCAGAUAUCAGGAGAGAGAGGCUCUGAAUCGACCUGAAAGCGAUCCUGUUUUUGAUGACAAUGUGCAGGUGUUUGGAUGUUGGAGAGGACGCUUUUGGGGUCAAGGUGGAGGGCCAGGAUUCUGCCCCUGGGAAAGCAGCUCGGCUCUGGGAAAGCAUACAGCAAGACUUCUGAAGAUUCUCCUCUCCUUUGAGCUUCCAGGUAAAAAGAGUUUCUAG
rnacentral:lncRNA from 1 species